AGCAGCCGCGGUAAUUCCAGCUCCAAUAGCGUAUAUUAAAGUUGUUGCAGUUAAAAAGCUCGUAGUUGAACUUCAGGCCUGUCCAGACGGUCCGCCUUAAUUGGUGUGUACUGUCCUUGGGUGGGUCCUACCUUCUGGCGAAGCGGCAUGGCCUUAAUUGGUUGUGUCGGGGAACAGGACUUUUACUGUGAAAAAAUUAGAGUGUUCAAAGCAGGCAAAUAUGCUCGAAUACAUUAGCAUGGAAUAAUGGAAUAGGACGAUGGUUCUAUUUUGUUGGUUCUAGGACCGUUGUAAUGAUUAAUAGGGAUAGUUGGGGGCAUUAGUAUUCAAUUGUCAGAGGUGAAAUUCUUGGAUUUAUUGAAGACUAACUACUGCGAAAGCAUUUGCCAAGGAUGUUUUCAUUAAUCAAGAACGAAAGUUAGGGGAUCGAAGACGAUCAGAUACCGUCGUAGUCUUAACCAUAAACUAUGCCGACUAGGAAUCGGGCGAUGUUGACAAAAUGACUCGCUCGGCACCUCAUG
rnacentral:rRNA from 1 species